AGCGUACACGGUGGAUGCCCUGGCAGUCAGAGGCGAUGAAGGACGUGCUAAUCUGCGAUAAGCGCCGGUAAGGUGAUAUGAACCGUUAUAACCGGCGAUUUCCGAAUGGGGAAACCCAGUGUGAUUCGUCACACUAUCAUUAACUGAAUCCAUAGGUUAAUGAGGCGAACCGGGGGAACUGAAACAUCUAAGUACCCCGAGGAAAAGAAAUCAACCGAGAUUCCCCCAGUAGCGGCGAGCGAACGGGGAGGAGCCCAGAGCCUGAAUCAGCAUGUGUGUUAGUGGAAGCGUCUGGAAAGGCGCGCGAUACAGGGUGACAGCCCCGUACACAAAAGCGCAUGUGCUGUGAGCUCGAUGAGUAGGGCGGGACACGUGGUAUCCUGUCUGAAUAUGGGGGGACCAUCCUCCAAGGCUAAAUACUCCUGACUGACCGAUAGUGAACCAGUACCGUGAGGGAAAGGCGAAAAGAACCCCGGCGAGGGGAGUGAAAAAGAACCUGAAACCGUGUACGUACAAGCAGUGGGAGCACAGGUUUACCUGUGUGACUGCGUACCUUUUGUAUAAUGGGUCAGCGACUUAUAUUCUGUAGCAAGGUUAACCGAAUAGGGGAGCCGGAGGGAAACCGAGUCUUAAUUGGGCGUUAAGUUGCAGGGUAUAGACCCGAAACCCGGUGAUCUAGCCAUGGGCAGGUUGAAGGUUGGGUAACACUAACUGGAGGACCGAACCGACUAAUGUUGAAAAAUUAGCGGAUGACCUGUGGCUGGGGGUGAAAGGCCAAUCAAACCGGGAGAUAGCUGGUUCUCCCCGAAAGCUAUUUAGGUAGCGCCUCGUGAAUUCAUCUCCGGGGGUAGAGCACUGUUUCGGCUAGGGGGCCAUCCCGGCUUACCAACCCGAUGCAAACUGCGAAUACCGGAGAAUGUUAUCACGGGAGACACACGGCGGGUGCUAACGUCCGUCGUGAAGAGGGAAACAACCCAGACCGCCAGCUAAGGUCCCAAAGUCAUGGUUAAGUGGGAAACGAUGUGGGAAGGCCCAGACAGCCAGGAUGUUGGCUUAGAAGCAGCCAUCAUUUAAAGAAAGCGUAAUAGCUCACUGGUCGAGUCGGCCUGCGCGGAAGAUGUAACGGGGCUAAACCAUGCACCGAAGCUGCGGCAGCGACGCUGAUGCGUUGUUGGGUAGGGGAGCGUUCUGUAAGCCUGCGAAGGUGACCUGUGAGGGUUGCUGGAGGUAUCAGAAGUGCGAAUGCUGACAUAAGUAACGAUAAAGCGGGUGAAAAGCCCGCUCGCCGGAAGACCAAGGGUUCCUGUCCAACGUUAAUCGGGGCAGGGUGAGUCGACCCCUAAGGCGAGGCCGAAAGGCGUAGUCGAUGGGAAACGGGUUAAUAUUCCCGUACUUGGUGUUACUGCGAAGGGGGGACGGAGAAGGCUAUGUUGGCCGGGCGACGGUUGUCCCGGUUUAAGCGUGUAGGUGUGUGUUCCAGGUAAAUCCGGUUCACUUUAACACUGAGGCGUGACGACGAGGCACUACGGUGCUGAAGCAACAAAUGCCCUGCUUCCAGGAAAAGCCUCUAAGCAUCAGGUAACACGAAAUCGUACCCCAAACCGACACAGGUGGUCAGGUAGAGAAUACCAAGGCGCUUGAGAGAACUCGGGUGAAGGAACUAGGCAAAAUGGUGCCGUAACUUCGGGAGAAGGCACGCUGACACGUAGGUGAAGUGAUUUACUCAUGGAGCUGAAGUCAGUCGAAGAUACCAGCUGGCUGCAACUGUUUAUUAAAAACACAGCACUGUGCAAACACGAAAGUGGACGUAUACGGUGUGACGCCUGCCCGGUGCCGGAAGGUUAAUUGAUGGGGUCAGCGCAAGCGAAGCUCCUGAUCGAAGCCCCGGUAAACGGCGGCCGUAACUAUAACGGUCCUAAGGUAGCGAAAUUCCUUGUCGGGUAAGUUCCGACCUGCACGAAUGGCGUAAUGAUGGCCAGGCUGUCUCCACCCGAGACUCAGUGAAAUUGAACUCGCUGUGAAGAUGCAGUGUACCCGCGGCAAGACGGAAAGACCCCGUGAACCUUUACUAUAGCUUGACACUGAACAUUGAGCCUUGAUGUGUAGGAUAGGUGGGAGGCUUUGAAGUGUGGACGCCAGUCUGCAUGGAGCCGACCUUGAAAUACCACCCUUUAAUGUUUGAUGUUCUAACGUGGACCCGUAAUCCGGGUUGCGGACAGUGUCUGGUGGGUAGUUUGACUGGGGCGGUCUCCUCCUAAAGAGUAACGGAGGAGCACGAAGGUUGGCUAAUCCUGGUCGGACAUCAGGAGGUUAGUGCAAUGGCAUAAGCCAGCUUGACUGCGAGCGUGACGGCGCGAGCAGGUGCGAAAGCAGGUCAUAGUGAUCCGGUGGUUCUGAAUGGAAGGGCCAUCGCUCAACGGAUAAAAGGUACUCCGGGGAUAACAGGCUGAUACCGCCCAAGAGUUCAUAUCGACGGCGGUGUUUGGCACCUCGAUGUCGGCUCAUCACAUCCUGGGGCUGAAGUAGGUCCCAAGGGUAUGGCUGUUCGCCAUUUAAAGUGGUACGCGAGCUGGGUUUAGAACGUCGUGAGACAGUUCGGUCCCUAUCUGCCGUGGGCGCUGGAGAACUGAGGGGGGCUGCUCCUAGUACGAGAGGACCGGAGUGGACGCAUCACUGGUGUUCGGGUUGUCAUGCCAAUGGCACUGCCCGGUAGCUAAAUGCGGAAGAGAUAAGUGCUGAAAGCAUCUAAGCACGAAACUUGCCCCGAGAUGAGUUCU
rnacentral:rRNA from 1 species